CAGGACGACGCUGGCGGCGUGCUUAACACAUGCAAGUCGAGGGGAAACGAUAUUGGAAGCUUGCUUCCGAUAGGCGUCGACCGGCGCACGGGUGAGUAACGCGUAUCCAACCUGCCCAUCACUUGGGAAUAACCUUGCGAAAGUAAGACUAAUGCCCUAUGUUGUUCUUUGCAGACAUCUAAAGAGAACGAAAGAUUCAUCGGCUAUGGAUGGGGAUGCGUCUGAUUAGGUUGUUGGCGGGGUAACGGCCCACCAAGGCAACGAUCAGUAGGGGUUCUGAGAGGAAGGUCCCCCACAUUGGAACUGAGACACGGUCCAAACUCCUACGGGAGGCAGCAGUGAGGAAUAUUGGUCAAUGGGCGAGAGCCUGAACCAGCCAAGUAGCGUGCAGGACGACGGCCCUAUGGGUUGUAAACUGCUUUUAUAAGGGAAUAAAGUGGGUCACGUGUGACUUUUUGCAUGUACCUUAUGAAUAAGGACCGGCUAAUUCCGUG
rnacentral:rRNA from 1 species